rnacentral:rRNA from 1 species
AUUGAACGCUGGCGGCAGGCUUAACACAUGCAAGUCGAGCGGAGGAAGGUAGCUUGCUACUGGACUUAGCGGCGGACGGGUGAGUAAUGCUUAGGAAUCUGCCUAUUAGUGGGGGACAACGUUUCGAAAGGAGCGCUAAUACCGCAUACGCCCUACGGGGGAAAGCAGGGGAUCACUUGUGACCUUGCGCUAAUAGAUGAGCCUAAGUCGGAUUAGCUAGUUGGUGGGGUAAAGGCUCACCAAGGCGACGAUCUGUAGCGGGUCUGAGAGGAUGAUCCGCCACACUGGGACUGAGACACGGCCCAGACUCCUACGGGAGGCAGCAGUGGGGAAUAUUGGACAAUGGGCGAAAGCCUGAUCCAGCCAUGCCGCGUGUGUGAAGAAGGCCUUAUGGUUGUAAAGCACUUUAAGCGAGGAGGAGGGUACCCUGAUUAAUACUCAGGAGUAUUGGACGUUACUCGCAGAAUAAGCACCGGCUAACUCUGUGCCAGCCGCCGCCGUAACAC